rnacentral:rRNA from 1 species
GGCGGAGCCGUAGCACACUCUGAGCGUAGUAAUUACAGUUCCUCGCUCCUGCAGUGGCCGCGGCGGCUGGCCGUUAAACCCCCUAUAACUUCUAGUGGUUGACCUCGGAUUAGGUAGGAAUACCCGCUGAACUUAAGCAUA